CUCCCUUUAUGUCUCUCACUCCGUAUAAGGAUUAAACACAAGAGGAGAAGAAGAGUGGAAGAGGGAGAGGGAGAGGGAGAGGGAUGGCAAGCAAAGCUCAAGAAUCCCCGCUGAACCCUAAUGUCUUCACCCUCGACUCGCCUCACCCAGUCUACGCCAUGGCCUUCUCCUCUUCCACCGCCGCCUCCUCUCCGCGUCUCGCCCUGGGCUCCUUCUUGGAGGAGUAUGGCAACCGCGUCGAACUGGUGGGCUUCGACGACGACGCCCUCGCCUUCCGCCCCGAGCCAGCUCUCUCCUUCGACCACCCUUACCCUCCCACCAAGCUCAUGUUCCACCCCCUCACAAUCCCUCUCCUAGCCUCCGCCUCCGACUCGCUCCGCAUCUGGCACGUCGGCUCCGACGCCACCGACCUCCGCUCCCUCCUCGACAGCAGCAAGUCCAGCGGAUACUGCGCGCCCCUCACAUCCUUCGACUGGAACGACCUCGAGCCCCACCGCAUCGGCACCUCCUCUAUCGACACCACCUGCACGAUUUGGGACGUCGACCGUGGCGUCAUCGAGACGCAGCUCAUCGCCCACGAUAAGGAGGUGUAUGACAUUGCCUGGGGCGAGGCCGGCGUCUUUGCCUCCGUCUCGGCUGACGGAUCUGUCCGCAUCUUCGACCUCCGCGACAAGGAGCACUCUACCAUUAUCUACGAGAGCCUUCGUCCCGACACCCCCCUCCUCCGCCUCGCCUGGAACAAAAUUGACCGCUGCUACAUGGCCGUCACCAUGAUGGAUAGCAACCGCGUCGUCGUGCUUGACAUCCGCUACCCUACCGCCCCCGUUGCCGAACUUCAGAAACACCGCGCCAGCGUCAACGCCAUCGCUUGGGCGCCGCAGGCCGCGCGGCAUAUUUGCUCCGCGGGGGAUGAUGGUCAGGCGCUGAUCUGGGAAUUGCCUGCGGCCGCACCAGGUAGUGGCUCCUCGACGGCGGCCACCACCGCAGUAGCUCCAGAGGGCAUAGAUCCAGUUCUGGUCUACCCAGCUGGCUCGGAAAUCAACCAGCUUCAGUGGUCUGCUGCACACCCUGAUUGGAUUGGAAUCGCCUUCUCCAACAAGGUGCAGCUGCUUAGGGUCUGAAUAGACUUAGUGAAUACCUAAAAGGUAGCAUACUGAAAGUGAAAUUUUAGAGUCUGGAAUGAGCAACACCUCCAGUUCAUAUAUUUGGUCUAGUUCAGAGUCGACUGGACAUCCCACCUACUUUUUAUCAUCCGGGAGCUGAUUGUCGUCACGAGUAAAUGUCAGAAUUAGGUUUAUGCUCUUACUCUUCAUUUUGUAAGAUAUGUAUGAUCUUCUUAACCACGUCUGCUAAAGCUUGUAUGUGACUAGAUGGAUAAGUAGUAUUCUGCAUUUACUAGAUUGUUGUUUGUUGGCCUAUGGUGAAUGUAACUAGGUGGCAAAUUUACUAUAAUGGUAAAAGGAUCAAAUUUUAGUA